rnacentral:rRNA from 1 species
UAGGGAAUCUUCCACAAUGGACGCAAGUCUGAUGGAGCAACGCCGCGUGAGUGAAGAAGGGUUUCGGCUCGUAAAGCUCUGUUGUUGGUGAAGAAGGACAGGGGUAGUAACUGACCUUUGUUUGACGGUAAUCAAUUAGAAAGUCACGGCUAACUACGUGCCAGCAGCCGCGGUAAUACGUAGGUGGCAAGCGUUGUCCGGAUUUAUUGGGCGUAAAGCGAGUGCAGGCGGCUCGAUAAGUCUGAUGUGAAAGCCUUCGGCUCAACCGGAGAAUUGCAUCAGAAACUGUCGAGCUUGAGUACAGAAGAGGAGAGUGGAACUCCAUGUGUAGCGGUGAAAUGCGUAGAUAUAUGGAAGAACACCGGUGGCGAAGGCGGCUCUCUGGUCUGUUACUGACGCU